UUUAAGGUGGCAGAUAAAUGUGCUAAUCUUAAAAGUUAGAAAUAAAAUAUAAUUUUCCUUAAAA
rnacentral:tRNA from 1 species